AAUUAUUAUUUUCCGCCUCGUGAAGCGUGCUUGGGCGAGAGUAGUACUAGGAUGGGUGACCUCCAGGGAAGUCCUCGUGUUGCAUUCC
rnacentral:rRNA from 1 species